rnacentral:rRNA from 1 species
AGCAGUCGCCACGGUAAAACGGAGGGUGCAAGCGUUAUCCGGAUUUAUUGGGUUUAAAGGGUCCGUAGGCGGACUUAUAAGUCAGUGGUGAAAGCCUGUCGCUUAACGAUAGAACUGCCAUUGAUACUGUAAGUCUUGAGUAUAUUUGAGGUAGCUGGAAUAAGUAGUGUAGCGGUGAAAUGCAUAGAUAUUACUUAGAACACCAAUUGCGAAGGCAGGUUACCAAGAUAUAACUGACGCUGAGGGACGAAAGCGUGGGUAGCGAACAGGAUUAGAUACCCCAGUAGUCCCUGUCUCUUAUAA